ACGUGGAUGACACUGUCAGGGAACAGCAAGCUUUUAGGUCACAAAAGUAAAAAUGUACCUGAGGAAGAAAAAGAGUAAGGAGGAGAAAUACACGAGAUAGGAAACCAAGGGGUCACUGCUGGGGAGGCGCCGUGACCCACGAGAGAAAGGGGCAACUUCCAGGGCUCUGCUCUCUGAUCUUGCAGCUCCACCCUCGGAGCCAACUCCGUGGCCGAUAUUCCAAGCUUCAACCUGCUUCAGAGCCGCCUGUCAGGGAUUCUCUGCCCUCACCUUCCAUGUGGUCUUACGUUGUGUGCAUCCCACAUGUAGCUUUGAAGAUGCAUGCGGCCAGCCACAAACCCCCAAAGCCCUUGCUGCCCUCUGUCCUCCCUGGAAGGUGAUCCACCACUUGGAACAACCCAUGCCGGCCUCUUCCAGCUGCGGUUCUCACCACUGAGCUGUCGGUAACCCCCAAGUCCAUUUAGAGCAUUGAUUGUGACUGAUUCCAUGCCUUAAUUAAACAU
rnacentral:lncRNA from 1 species